rnacentral:rRNA from 1 species
GACGAACGCUGGCGGCGUGCUUAACACAUGCAAGUCGAACGGAAAGACCCUGCUUUUGUGGGGUGCUCGAGUGGCGAACGGGUGAGUAACACGUGAGUAACCUGCCCUUGACUUUGGGAUAACUUCAGGAAACUGGGGUAAUACCCGAAAAGGGCUCCCUGCUCAUGGGUGGGGGUGGGAAGGUUCGGCGGUUGGGGAUGGACUCGCGGCUUAUCAGCUUGUUGGUGGGGGAGUGGCUUACCAAGGCUUUGACGGGUAGCCGGCCUGAGAGGGUGACCGGCCACAUUGGGACUGAGAUACGGCCCAGACUCCUACGGGAGGCAGCAGUGGGGAAUAUUGCACAAUGGGCGGAAGCCUGAUGCAGCAACGCCGCGUGCGGGAUGACGGCCUUCGGGUUGUAAACCGCUUUCGCCUGUGACGAAGCGUGAGUGACGGUAAUGGGUAAAGAAGCACCGGCUAACUACGUG